UACGUAGGCAGCAAACGUUGUUCGGAAUUACUGGGCGUAAAGAGUGUGUAGGCGGUUUUGUAAGUUUGGUGUGAAAUCUCCCGGCUUAACUGGGAGGGUGCGCCGAAAACUGCAGGGCUUGAGUGCUGGAGAGGAGAGCGGAAUUCCUGGUGUAGCGGUGAAAUGCGUAGAUAUCAGGAGGAACACCGGCGGUGUAGACGGCUCUCUGGACAGUAACUGACGCUGAGACACGAAAGCGUGGGGAGCAAACAGG
rnacentral:rRNA from 1 species